AUUGAACGCUGGCGGCAGGCCUAACACAUGCAAGUCGAACGAGUGGCGGACGGGUGAGUAAUGUCUGGGAAACUGCCUGAUGGAGGGGGAUAACUACUGGAAAAGGUAGCUAAUACCGCAUAACAUCAUAUGUGCCCAGAGGGGAUUAGCUUGUUGGUGGGGUAACGGCCCGCUAAGGCGACGAUCCCUAGCUGGUCUGAGAGGAUGACCAGCCACACUGGAACUGUGACACGGUCCAGAAUCCUACGGGAGGCAGCAGUGGGGAAUAUUGCACAAUGGGCGCAAGCCUGCUACAGACAUGCCGCGUGGAUGAAGAAGGCCUUCGGGUUGUAAGGUACUUUCAGCGGGGAGGCGUUACCCGCAGAAGAAGCACCGGCUAACUCCGUGCCAGCAGCCGCGGUAAUAC
rnacentral:rRNA from 1 species